rnacentral:lncRNA from 1 species
AAGCGCUUGCCGCAGCUCUUCAUGCAGGACUCCAACACCGUGAGGGCUUGGAUGGCCUCCCAUUCCUGUGGGGACUGGAUCUUGUGGGCAAGGAGCCGGGUGGCGAGCGGAGGGCCCUCCAGCUCCUUGUUGAGCUGCUCGCAGAACGCAUUGAUGCCGUCCCAGUCCAGCUCCUUGUUCAGCGGGUUGGUGGCCUUGUUGAUGCGCGCCUCCAGCGUCUCGGCCUCCAUGGCGGGGCCGCCGCCGCCGCCGCUCCUCAGCGGGGCCGCCACCGGCCCAUAGAGAGAGCCCAGAAACCUCUAGAGCGCCGCCGCGCCGCCGGCUCCACCAUAGAGCGCCGGAAGUCGGAAGUGCAGAGCGCCGCUCCGCGCGCCCCCUGCCGUGACACCGCCCGAGUUACCAUAGAGUUCACCGCGUGGGGGGGGAAAGAGAGACACUGGAAGAAGACCUCCAGGAGGAGGGUAUAGAGAGGCGAAUGAACAAAGCCGGAAGCCAACCGCCCUUCCCAGCGGAAAAAGCCCUUCUGUUGUCAAGUGAAGCCACUUCCGAUAGGGCCGCACACAACUUCCGCCUCGUAAGGGAGCUGCGUGUCCUUUAAAAGGACACAAGCCGGCCAGCUCCAGCGCAUGCGCAGUGCGUGCCCGCCCGCUCUGAGGGGAGCGGAGCCCAGGUCUUUAAAAUGGCGGCGGCAGGUGUUCCGUGGGGCUUGGUGUUUUAAAGGCAUUAUAAUGCUAUCAGGCCCGCUUCUGCGUCCUUGGCGCAGUUGUUUUUAAACAGUUGUUAAUCUUCUGGCUUCUUCCGGCUUGGUGGAACUUAAGUCCUCCGGGAAUAGCAAACAGCUCUCUCCUUUCUCUUAGUGGCUCUUAAUACAAGCAAUGGCACUUAAUAAAGACUCUUUUCUCUGCCUUUUUGUGGUCUUGGAGGGAGCACCGUGCAUUCACCGUGUGGUGCUUUACGUCACUUACAGAGCAGAUCCUGUGAGGAGUUGCCCCAGUGUCGCCCUGAUGGCUUUUCCAUAUGGGCAGCCAUUGUUCAGGGGACUUUUUGGCCAUUGAAAACUAUCUUCUGGUGCCUGAACGCAAUCCUUUCUUUAACUCUUACCGCCUUGCCUCACAAAGCCUUUUUUUUUUUUUUUCCAGGGCCUUUCUUAGCAAACUGCCACAUCCUUUGCUGUGUUCGGGCACGUUUUAUGUGAGCUAUUUCAGUCCUAUGAGUCACUCCUGCCUAUUACUGCUACCUCUUGAAUUUUUCUGAGAAUCUUGAAGUCUUUUGCAGGAGUCCAGGACCUCAGUACUGCUAUUGGAGGUCACGUGUGAUCUGUGCGGAAGGUGUGUGUCUCCGCUCCCUGACCCAGAAAGCGACUGGAGCAGUGGUUUUUCAAUCUGGUGUUUCAGUCUUUUGCUCAGGUUUCAGUCUUGGAAUGUUUAUUUUUCCUUGCUUUGGCAUCGGCCUGUUUUAAGCAAGCAUAAAGCGAAUGGCAGGCUGCACCUCUUUUCGGCUGGCUGCAAACAAUGGCAAAUGAACUCAUCCAUAACGCUGAUGUUAACUGCAGCACUUCAGGCCUUUCUUUUAUUACUUAGAAACUUGGCAGGCUCCUUCCCCUUUGGUUGCAUCUGCUUUCUGUGCGACUUAGAUGAGAUGUCAGGGGAAAGUUGUUUUACCGAGAGGGCAGUGAGGCACUGCCACAGGCUGCCCACAGAAGAUGGGUGCCCCAUCCCUGGAGGUUCAAGGCCAGGUUGCAUGGGGCCCUGGGCAGCCUCAGCUGGGUGGCAGCCCUGCCCAUGGCACGGGGUUGGAACUGGAUGAUCUUUGAGGUCCUUCCCAACCCAAGCCAUUCUAUGGUUCUAUGAAAAAGAUCGUCAAAAUUCUGCUCCCCAUAACUAAGCUCGAUGCCUCCUGAGAAAAACCCUCCUCAACUCAUUUUUACUGACAGCUGGAAUCCCAAACAAGACUUAAAGCCUAAUGGAGCGAGACGCUCCGUAUUGUAAUUAACGCUGAUCCAGAAGGAAAAUACUGGAACUAUAAUUAGCUUGUAGCCAGUUGCAGAGGAAAGUGAUUACGCACAAGCCGGAGGCCCGGGUAGGUUGCGUGCCAGGGAAACAGCAGCUUGGGCUGGGAGCUGUGCUAUCCCACAGAGGGCAGCAGCAGGCAGGAGACUGGCUGCUGCUGCUCAGCCAUGGCUUGAAGCCACGUUCGUGGUGAAUCAUGGCACAAACAACGCCGGGGAGGGCUGCAGGAAUGUCUGGGUGUGCUGUGCGAGGGUUUUUCCAGGCAGCGUUUCCCUUCUUGCUGCAGGAAGGCCUGUCUCCAGUGAUCAAAGACAACUGCAGGAGGAGAAUGAGGAAAUAGAAUGCUGGGGAAUGGAAUAGAAAACCUGCUUGGAAGAUCUCUGCUUGGAGCGAGACUCAAGAAAAUGCAUAUCCAUGUUUGCUGCCUCUGAUUCCCCUGUUGUUAGUGUGGGGGUAGCAGAAGUGGAGGAUUCGAGUCCUUCUGUAGAGGACCCAUCCAGCUAGGAAGCAGGUUAGUGCUCAUAGGCACUACUUUCCUUGUGCUCAUCAUUGCCUUGGCUUCUGCAUCUCCUGGGCAAUCCUCUCCUGUACACACCCUCCAGAUCCACAGACCUGCUUAUCCAGUCUUCUGCUUACCUCAGUGCUUGGUGAGGUAAGUACGUUUUGUUCUCGCCGUCUUCCUCCGUUAGGAAGCUGGCUGGCUGACAGAGCUUAGGGGUAGGUUGGGUGAAGGUUGUGGCAUUAUCUGAUGAGAGGCAAACCAAAGCCUCCCUGGUGCAGGAUGGUCCUUUCAAAAUUGUCUGGUUUUGUUUUGUUUGUUUGUUUUUGGUGACUGGGGGAGAUAGAGGCGAAAUCCUGGGCUUAACUUCUUGAAAUCAAC